GUUACUGCUAUCGGUGUUCGCCUAAGCCAUGCGAGUCAUAUGUUCGUAAGAACAUGGCGUACUGCUCAGUAACACGUGGAUAACCUGCCCUUGGGUCCGGCAUAACCCCGGGAAACUGGGGAUAAUUCCGGAUAACGCACAUAUGCUGGAAUGCUUUUUGCGUAAAAUGGAUUCGUCUGCCCAAGGAUGGGUCUGCGGCCUAUCAGGUAGUAGUGGGUGUAAUGUACCUACUAGCCUACGACGGGUACGGGUUGUGAGAGCAAGAGCCCGGAGAUGGAUUCUGAGACAUGAAUCCAGGCCCUACGGGGCGCAGCAGGCGCGAAAACUUUACAAUGCGGGAAACCGUGAUAAGGGGACACCGAGUGCCAGCAUCCUAUGCUGGCUGUCCGGGUGUGUAAAAUACACCUGUUAGCAAGGGCCGGGCAAGACCGGUGCCAGCCGCCGCGGUAACACCGGCGGCCCGAGUGGUGAUCGUGAUUAUUGGGUCUAAAGGGUCCGUAGCCGGUUUGGUCAGUCCUCCGGGAAAUCUGACAGCUCAACUGUUAG
rnacentral:rRNA from 1 species